CCCCUAGAUGUUCUGGGCCGCACGCGCGCUACACUGAACAGUUCAACAAGUCUUAACCUUGGCCGAUAGGUCUGGGUAAUCUUUGAACGCUGUUCGUGAUUGGGAUAGAUCUUUGCAAUUAUGGGUCUUCAACGAGGAAUUCCUAGUAAACGCAAGUCAUCAGCUUGCAUUGAUUACGUCCCUGCCCUUUGUACACACCGCCCGUCGCACCUACCGAUUGAAUGGUCCGGUGAAAUCUCGGGACGGCGGCUUGGUCGCUUGCGUCCGACUGCUGAAACUUGAUUAAACCAUAUCAUUUAGAGGAAGGUGAAGUCGUANCA
rnacentral:rRNA from 1 species